UACGUAGGCAGCGAGCGUUGUUCGGAGUUACUGGGCGUAAAGCGUGCGUAGGCGGUGGUCCAAGUCUGGUGUGAAAUCUCCCGGCUUAACUGGGAGGGUGCGCCGGAAACUGGGCUGCUGGAGUGCGGGAGAGGUAAGCGGAAUUCCCGGUGUAGAGGUGAAAUUCGUAGAUAUUCGGCGGAACACCAGUGGCGAAGGCGACUCACUGGCCCGAUACUGACGCUGAGGCGCGAAAGCCAGGGGAGCAAACGGG
rnacentral:rRNA from 1 species